AUGACCCUUCUGUGGGAGAUUAAGCUCCCGUUAAAGAUUCGUAUCUUUCUAUGGCAAUGGGUGCGGGGCUGUCUACCCUCAGGUACGGAAGUUAGAAAGAGGAAUGGCCCUGGGGAUGGACUAUGCCCCCUAUGUAACGUACCUGAAGAUUCCAACCAUAUUUUCUUUCGAUGCCCGAUGGCAGUCUUCCUCUGGAGCUGCAUCAGGGGGGUGAUUGGCGGAGAUUGGAACCAUGACAAGCUCCCCGAUCUGUUCCAGGCGGUCCUAAGCCGAGAGGCCAGGACGCGCCCUAGUCUGUGGGUAGUCUUGGGGAUGAUGGCGUGGACAUUAUGGACUGCUCGCAAUAAGCUCGUGAUUGAGCAUGUGAUUCCAUCUCGUGCGACUGACUCUAUCUACAAACUAUGUGGUUUCUUACAGCUAUGGAGACCGCUCAGCAAGCGACGUGAUCGGGACUCCAUCGACAGGAUCAUCUCGGCUCUAUGUACCACCGCCGGAGCCUUGGCGCCACCGCUCCCUCCACCACCACCUGAGCCGGAUUAG
rnacentral:rRNA from 1 species